rnacentral:rRNA from 1 species
CCCUUAGAUGUUCUGGGCUGCACGCGUGCUACACUGAUAUUGCCAAUAUGUCAUUCUUAUCCGAAAUGGAUUGGGUAAUCAAGUAAUGAAAUUUCAUGCUUGGAAUCGGUAAUUGCAAUUUUAUCGUGAACGAGGAAUUCCUAGUAAGCACUAGUCAUCAGCUAAUGUUGAUUAUGUCCCUGCCCUUUGUACACACCGCCCGUCGCUACUACUGAUUGGGUGUUCAAGUGAGAUGCUUAGACCCUUGUUGCAUGGUUCAUUAUUAUGCUCCGAAAGGAAAAAGUUUCAAGCUUGAGUGUCUAGAGGAAGUAAAAGUCGUAACA